AACAAGCAAUUCAAGAAUGCCAAAUUCGAAUUUAAAACAAAAUAAAUUUUCAAAUUCCUUGUGCUAAGUUUCAUAAGUGUCUAACUAAGCAUAAGUAAUUUAGCCACUCAUAGCAAGUAAAACAAAACCAAAAUCAAUUGUAAACAACAUGAAUUACAAAUUGAAUCUUGGAAAGAAAAAAAAACUUCCUCAAACCGUCGAGCUUCCCUUCUCUCAAUUAGCUGAAAUUUUGC
rnacentral:lncRNA from 1 species